GAUGAAGAACGUAGCGAAAUGCGAUAAGUAAUGUGAAUUGCAGAAUUCAGUGAAUCAUCGAAUCUUUGAACGCACAUUGCGCCCGCCAGUAUUCUGGCGGGCAUGCCUGUUCGAGCGUCAUUUCAACCAUCAAGCCCCCGGCUCGUGUUGGGGACCUGCGGCUGCCGCAGGCCCUGAAAAGCAGUGGCGGGCUCGCUGUCACACCGAGCGUAGUAGCAUACAUCUCGCUCUGGGCGUGCUGCGGGUUCCGGCCGUUAAACCACCUUCAUAACCCAAGGUUGACCUCGGAUCAGGUAGGAAGACCCGCUGAACUUAAGCAUAUCAAUAAGCGGAGGA
rnacentral:misc_RNA from 1 species